ensembl:lncRNA
AUCUUCCUCACAAUAAAGCUAAUUUAGCUGCUUUUGAGGCUGAAUGUUCAACCUGCCAGCAAGACUGAUUGUGAGCACCUCUGAUAUGAGGCCACCUCUAAAGCAGACUAAGAAACCCUUUGUUGGCAAGUUGAUUACACUAAAACCCUCAAUACUUGAAAAGGCAGCAAUCGAUUUUGAUUGGGAUUGACAGACUUUGAAGAUCAUUAAUGGACACACUGCCUCUUGGUCAGAGAUCAACAGUUUGCUAUUGACCAGACCCUUCAGAUCAACUUCUCCCUGCCAGGAGCUUCUUGUGGACCUGAACUAGACUGUCCAGUAUAGAUAAUGAGAACACUUAGCCUCAUUUAAGCUUGGUUUUACUUCAAAUAAAGUUACUACAUGAACUUAAUACCUUUCUUUAUUCUAGUGCACAGAGGUCACCACUGUGAGAUUUAUUUGAUUUUGCAGUCUGGCUAAUUAAUUUGUUCAUUCUGACUUAGCAUCAGCACUGUCUUUUGGAGCAGUGCUACCAAAGCAAUAGAUUAAUUUGCAUGGUACAAUGCAUCUAGAAUAAUCAUUACCCCAUAGAAUUGUUAUUGCUUGAAUUCUAAAGAGAUAGUUGUUUCCCCACUGAGAUAAGUUUCUAUUGCAGUUUUCAGGGGGAUAAAAAAGAAAAUAGUGAUGUGUAUAAGUUUUUGAACAGUAGAGCUUUCUGGAACUUUUAAUUUAAUUGUACUAGGUUCUAACGCACUAUUUCACUAACCAUUCUGGACAAAUAGCUUCAAACUGCAAGAAAUAGAAAGCCACCUAAAGCUAUCUUAAAUAAAGGAUACACAGGAAACUUCUAGAAAUUUACGGAGGGCAACAAGUAUAGGUAACUUCAUUGGAAAAAGCCACUAAGACUGUAUAUUUCUAUUUCCCAAUUCUCAAAACUGCAUAUCUCUUUUCAAUGCUAUUAAUACUUCUCUGUUAUCUGUUUCAUUUUUAUCUCUGUGCGAAUUGCUUCUUACUCUCCGUCAUCUAUUUGGACAUGGCCCAUUAUGGCUUACCAUAAAAUGGCAACCUAAGCCCCUUAAUCUUCAGUGUUAUUAGCUCAGCUAUCCAUUGUCCUUCAGCGUCUCAGAUGAAUGACUGAUUUAACUUGGAUCAGGGGAGGAUCACAGCCCAGUUGACUGCAGGUAGGCAGGAAGAUGGAGUCAUGGAUUUCAACAAGCUCUCCAGUGACAUCAGCAACAUGGUGGAGUGAGCUGUUCCCUUUGUCUCGACCCCCUUGAACUUCUACUAAAUGGACAUUCAUUGAUCAGCAGAGGAUACCCACGUAGCAUAUGAGGAUGCCUGAGAGACUCACACAGUUAUACAUCUGAAGGUGGAUGGACUACUCCCAGGGAGGUGAUGGAGAGAGGUGAGCACUCUCUGGCCCCCUAGCAGCCCUGUACGUGCGUGCAACUACUCUCCCAGCCAGAGCACCCAUAGCAUCACUGUGGCCCCCAGUGUGGGAGCAUGCCUCAGUGCGACUGUGGGAACAGGUGAUGGCAGCCCUGAGACCCUGGUGAUUGCUUUCUUGUCCGGUGAGAGAGCCCACAGUGCUGUUUCAGUCCUGAGGAGUGGCUCAAGCAGGCUUAGACCCAAUGGGUAGGCCCUCCCCACCAAGCACAACAGCUGGUGUGACCUAGAUAGAGACGGUGGUGGAUCUGUGCACCCAUAUAAAUAAGUUCCAGGCUGCCGAGAACACCCAUAGUGCUGCAGCCCCAAAGGGGGGAGCACUUCUUGGCAGGACUGUGGGAGCAGGUGUCAGCAGCCUUGAACUCCCAUGUGAUUGCUUUCCCAUUCUGUGGGAGAGCCCAUGAGGCUGCUGCAGUCCCAAGGAGUGGCCUAGGCUCAGUCUAUACAGCUGACAGUGAUCACUGUGGGCUCAGAAUACACAGCUCCUGCUCCCCCUGCCCAGUGGCAGCAGAAGGAAUCUGCGACAAGAUACUAUCACUAUGCAAAGGCACAAAUCCACCCCAUCAAAUAAUAUGAAGAAGUAUAUUAACACUCCAG